GCUGAGCACGCUGACCGGGUGCCUAUCUUGGAGUCACCCCCAUGACCUGCCGGCUUCCCUCGGUCCCUGCUCUGAUGACACAGGAUGACAGCGUGUUUGAGUAUUUCCACAGGCUGACGCUUUCCCAAGGGCCAACACCUCUGUGUAAAGAGCCUGAGCCCAACCCCGGGUCCAACAGAGCGCUGAGAUAAGCUGUCGCGGGAGCCCGGGCUGGGGACUUUCGAGGUUUAUGAUGUCAGCGGGCUGCAGAGAGCCUCGAGCAGGGUCCAGACGCUGCGGAUUCCUGCAGAACACGGGUGGCCACGGGACCCUCCACACUGGCUGUCGGGCAAAGCUGAGUUCUCCCCUCUGCAUUGGAGGUGGGGCUGGCCGGGCUGGUGGGACAGGUGGCAGAAAGUCCAAAACUCUCCUUUGGGGAUAAAGGGAAGCUACGUGAUGGUUCCGCAGUUCACCAGAACGCUCCAGGCCUGAUCCUCCUGGACCGGCUACGGAAGCAGGACAGCUCAUGGCAAGAUUUCUGAAACUGCCCGCCCCCCCGAAGUCCCAGCCAGACAGAGGACUCAGAAUUGACCCAUUAAUAUUUAAACCACAGUGGCCACUCACCAUCAGGUGACGGCAGAAGGCAGCGGAGCUGGCCAGCAGCUGCCCCAGAAAUCCUGUCCUCAAACUGCCAAGGUCAGUGCACUGUGGACUCCAGUAGCUUCCUGGAGCUCACUGGGAAAAGCCGGGGUAAGCAUGGUACCUACGUCCUCGGCUCAACAGAAAAUUCCCUCGGAAGACCCUCAGGCACCAGUUAGCACGGUAAGCAUUUAUUAUUAAUGAGGCAUAAGCAAGCAUUUAUUAUAAUAAUGCUAUUAUUAUUAUUAUUAGUGCUAAAAAUUAUCUAUAAGCCUGUCCCCUUCCUCCUACUAGGCAAAGUCGGGAUUCCAAAGUGAACAGCGGGUGCCUUUCGGGACACUCGCACGUGGCCACCUCAAUGAUACGUCCCAAUGAAUAAUUGGAUGUUAUUGAAACUCUCCUUGUUCGGAGCCGAGGACUGCAUAGAGCCCAACCCACCUGGCGAUCGUGUUCUUCCAAUUUUAACGGCGGAAUCAUUCAUAAAUAAGAAACGGCUUCUUGUUUUGUAUGAAUCAAUUCACAAGAUAAAUAUUUAAAUAAAAUGUGGCUUCAAUUGUGCUCUCGGAUGAUAAUUGCUGGCUCACACUCUGUUUCUGUAUCAAUGUGUUUUCUUUUAUUCCCCGCGCUGACUAAUGAACGGAGCUGUCAGAAGCCCAUUGCUCACGAUCUCGCGGGCAACACAUUAGUAGUUCCCCAUAAAU
rnacentral:lncRNA from 1 species